ACGUAGGGUGCGAGCGUUGUCCGGAAUUAUUGGGCGUAAAGAGCUUGUAGGCGGUUUGUCGCGUCUGCUGUGAAAAUCCGGGGCUCAACCCCGGACUUGCAGUGGGUACGGGCAGGCUAGAGUGUGGUAGGGGAGACUGGAAUCCCUGGUGUAGCGGUGAAAUGCGUAGAUAUCAAGAGGAACACCUGAGGUGAAGACGGGUUGCUGGGCCAACACUGACGCUGAGGCGCGAAAGCCAGGGGAGCAAACGGGA
rnacentral:rRNA from 1 species